rnacentral:misc_RNA from 1 species
AAAUUCAAAACGGACUAUAAAAAUUAACUUGGUAUGUUACAUAAGUAGCGAAUUGUCCGUCCGUGCGUUGCUCAGGAUGCUAAACCAAUAUCAAGAACCCUGCAAUUUUUAUCAACGAAAUGAUGGUCUUCCACUCAUGGAGGAUUUCAGACAGAGACAUGGAGUCCCCAGCAUGAAUUGAAACGUAUACUACUUGCAUAUUUAUACAUUUGAGCAAAUAUUCUGUGCUGAUAGUUUACAAUACAACAAAGUAAUUGAUCUCAUGAUCUAAAGUAGGCGAUCAUAUAUGCUGUAGAACUUAGCCACGAGGAAGCAACCAGGUGUCCAUGGAUUAAUCAUUGAAAGAAGGAGAGUUUGUUAACGAAGCAAUAUUGGUCAUGGUCCACUGCAGCUGCAACUUCAACUUGCCAUUUUUAGAAUUAAAUAGAAAAUGCAGGAAUGAUAAAGUUCAUUGAGCUGAAUUUCUAUCAACGUCAUUGAUAAUAAUAAUAUUUCAAAGUAAAGGGGGUUGCAAAAGGGUGGUAUGUUAAGGAUAAAAAUUUCAUUUAAAAUGGGAUUUCUAAGCUUCUGCAACCACUUGAGAUUUAGGCUUUUUCUCCUUGUUUUUAACAAACUUUUUACUUGCUGCCCCACCAUCUUCCGUUUCUGUUCUGUUCUCAAUCCUUGCAAAGACUGGUUGUGGCUGAGCCAUGACCUGACCGCCCUUCAGGCCACCCCACUUCGUGUCACUCUACAAUGCAAAAUCCAAUAAGAAAUUAAUAGAAAUAAGGAGGAAGGUGUGUUUAUUGUAUACAUGCAUAGAUAUAAUGGACAGAAGUUUGUGUUCGUGUCUGCUGCACCCAAAGACACAUGCACCCACAUGAGAGAGAGAGAGAGAGACCCAUGUCGCAGUGUUAAAAUGGUCCUUUGAGUAGCCAAGCUGCGAAUAUAUUCUCCAACAUAAACUUGGAGCGACAGGUGAUAAAGCAAUUGCUAUAAUCCUCAUUGCUUCCAAUAUAAUCACGAGAUCCUGCUUAGCAUCAACCAAAAUGAGAAUACCACUCCAAUAACAUCUCAUGCUAGGUCAGUUCUAACACAAGGUUCAAUGAAGUUCAAUUUCUAACCAUGCAUACCAUGCUCAUAAAACAUGUUUUAUUAUCUAAGCGGUUUACUCGAUCGAUUAGAUUCAAUGCUAGAAUGUUUCCUUUCUCAAAAAUUAAGCCAUCAAUAUUCUUCAUAGCAGUGAGAUCAAAUAUUAUUAAAGACAUUCUUGAAGAAAUAGAGGUAGAUAUGGGAAACCUUUGCCGCAGCUUCAGAAGCAGCACCGCCUUGCUUAAAAAGAGACCAUGGAGCACAUUCAUCCAUGUAGACAUUUCCAGCAUUACCAAUCUCCAGAAUAGCCUCACAAGCCAAUGAUAGUGAAAGAUUUUCAUAAUGAACCCGAGCUUUUUCAACCAACUUCUCAACAGUGUCUUUCAAUGCAUUUCCUUCAGCAGCAAUAAAUGAAUCAACAACCAAAGUUGAUUGACAAUUCCUUUUAAGGAGUCCAAGAGUACGGUUAAGGAGGUUUCCUAUGGUAUUGGCAAGGUGUGCAUUGACAAUAUUAACAAAACGGUCUUCUGAGUAGUCCCCAUCAUUGCCAAACUCCACCUCUCUAAGGAAGAAGUACCUGACUGCAUCGGACCCAAAUUUUUGAACCAACUCGUUUGGUUCAAGUGUAUUCCCUAAUGACUUCCCCAUCUUCGUGCCAUCCUUUGUCAAGAACCCAUGCCCAAACACCAUCUUAGGAAGGCCUAGGCCAGCAGACAUCAGCAUAGCCGGCCAAUAAACUGCAUGAAAACGUAAAAUAUCCUGCACAAGAAUAAGAGAACAAUAAGAGAGAAAUUGCCAACUGAAUUCUGUUUAGAUAUGUUUUUGAGGAAAAAGGGACUCAGAUUCAUAAACAAAGAAGCAAUAAGUAAAACAGGAAAAAAGUGGAAAAAAGCAAUUAAAAAGGUAAAACCUUUCCAAUUAAAUGCAGUGAUGCAGGCCAGCCAGAAGAAACAGCACUUUGCAAAUUAGUUUGUUCCUUGUCCUCUGAUAAAGCUGAUAGAUAACCCAAUAAAGCAUCAAACCAAACAUAUAUAGUCUGCUUAUUGUCAUUAGGAACAGGAAUGCCCCAAUCCACUGAUGCACGAGAAAUUGAAAAGUCUUUCAAGCCACAUUUGAUCCAGCUUUGCACCUCAUUUAAACGGAAUGAAGGCUGCACAAAAUUUGGAUUCUGUGCCAAAGUUUCUUCUAAUAGUUUUUGGUACUUUGACAAGGCAAAAAAAUAAUUAUCCUCUUUCCGCUGAAUACAUGGCUUUAGAUGCAUGGGGCAACAGUUGUUAUCAAGUAGCUCCUUUUCAUCCUUAUACUCCUCACAGCUGACACAGUAAAGUCCCUCAUAGUCAGCACGGUAAAUGUCCCCGUUGGCAAGAACCCUAGAAUAAAAUUCCUUGACAAUUGCUUCAUGCUUGGGAUCGGUUGUCCGAAUGAAUUUGUCAUAAGCAAUUUCUAAAUCUUUCCAAAGUUUCUUGUAAGCUUGAGAUACGACAUCACAGUGUUUACUUGGGCUAGAGCCACGGGCAGCUGCAGCAGUUGCAAUCUUCUCUCCAUGCUCAUCUGUGCCAGUGACGAAUAUAACCUUCUUUCCUAAAAGCCUCUGAAAUCGAGCUAUGGCAUCAGCAGCGAUGGUGGUGUAGGCACUACCCAUAUGCGGAGGAGCAUUCACGUAAUAAAGCGGAGUUGUGAGGACGAAUGUUUCUGCUGCCACUGCUUCGCCGUUUUGGGCACUAUUGGGAUUGCUAUUGGCAACUGUGCAAAACGCAGCCUUUCGGGAUUGAGAAGAAGAAAAGAAGAGUUCUGUGGGAAAACUGAGACGAUUCUUGAAAUGGGCAGUUGUCGUUGAUCUUGCACUGAUUGAAGAACAUAGAGGGUUUAAAAGGGAAAGAGUGUUUUGUAUCGAGUAGUUUAUUCUCGCAGCCAUUUCUUUUCUUCGCUUCCACUUAAACUCAGUACUAGGUUUCUCACUGUUCAGGGCGCACUGUUGCAGCUUGCAAUCAGCUUUUGGUUCUUAUUGAAACACAGAGGCCUAUCGAUAAAGGGCAUCAGAUUCCUAAGGAGGGGAGAGGAGAGGCCUAUCGAUAAAGCAGCUGCGCCGGUUUUGGUUCUGUUAGCCCAAACUGCAGGAUUAAAUUUUCAUAAUUACGAUGUCGUUUUGGGUUUGCUUAUGCACGUCAUUUCCUUAGUUCAGUUUCGCUGAUCACCACCGAUUUGGAAACUCCAUAGCUAGACCACAUCUUGUCUUGAAAAGUUCUGUAUUUCCAUUUUCUUUAUCUCGAUAGUCAAAAUCAUUGAUCAAUGGGCGCAGUUAGUCAAAAUCAUUGAUCAAUGGGCGCAGU